rnacentral:rRNA from 1 species
GAUGAACGCUGGCGGCGGGCCUAAUACAUGCAAGUCGAGCGAACAGACGAGGAGCUUGCGCCUCUGACGGUAGCGGCGGACGUGUGAGUAACACGUGGCAAACCGACCUAUAAGACUGGGAUCACUUCGGGAAACCGGUUCUAAUACCGGAUAAUAUAUUAAACCUCAAGGUUCAUUAGUGAAAGACGGUUUGUCGGUCUCUUAUAGAGGGAUGUGCGUCGCUUUAGCAAGUUGGUAAGGUAACGCCUUACUAAGGGGACGAUGAGUAGCCGCCCCGAGGGGGUGAUCGUCCACAGUGGAACUGAGACGAGGUCCAGACUCCUGAGGGAGGCAGCAGUAGGGAACUUUCCGCAAUGAGCGGAAGGCUGACGGAGAAAAGGCGCGUGAGUGAUGAAGGUCUUCGGCUCGUAAAACUAUGUUAUUAGGGAAGAACAAAUGUGUAAGUAACUAUGCACGUUUUGACGGUACCUAAUAAGAUAGCCACGGCUAACUACGUG